rnacentral:rRNA from 1 species
GGACGGCAGCACAGAGAAGCUUGCUUCUUGGGUGGCGAGUGGCGAACGGGUGAGUAACAUAUCGGAACGUACCGAGUAAUGGGGGGAUAACUAAUCGAAAGAUUAGCUAAUACCGCAUAUUCUCUGAGGAGGAAAGCAGGGGACCUUCGGGCCUUGCGUUAUUCGAGCGGCCGAUAUCUGAUUAGCUAGUUGGUGGGGUAAAGGCCUACCAAGGCGACGAUCAGUAGCGGGUCUGAGAGGAUGAUCCGCCACACUGGGACUGAGACACGGCCCAGACUCCUACGGGAGGCAGCAGUGGGGAAUUUUGGACAAUGGGCGCAAGCCUGAUCCAGCCAUGCCGCGUGUCUGAAGAAGGCCUUCGGGUUGUAAAGGACUUUUGUCAGGGAAGAAAAGGCUGUUGCUAAUAUCGACAGCUGAUGACGGUACCUGAAGAAUAAGCACCGGCUAACUACGUGCCAGCAGCCGCGGUAAUACGUAGGGUGCGAGCGUUAAUCGGAAUUACUGGGCGUAAAGCGAGCGCAGACGGUUACUUAAGCAGGAUGUGAAAUCCCCGGGCUCAACCUGGGAACUGCGUUCUGAACUGGGUGACUAGAGUGUGUCAGAGGGAGGUAGAAUUCCACGUGUAGCAGUGAAAUGCGUAGAGAUGUGGAGGAAUACCGAUGGCGAAGGCAGCCUCCUGGGAUAACACUGACGUUCAUGCUCGAAAGCGUGGGUAGCAAACAGGAUUAGAUACCCUGGUAGUCCACGCCCUAAACGAUGUCAAUUAGCUGUUGGGCAACUUGAUUGCUUAGUAGCGUAGCUAACGCGUGAAAUUGACCGCCUGGGGAGUACGGUCGCAAGAUUAAAACUCAAAGGAAUUGACGGC